rnacentral:lncRNA from 1 species
AUCAUUCCCAAUUAUUUGGUGAUUUUUAUUUUUUGUGGUUUCAUUUACUUUAUUUGACUCUCAUCUCUUACUGCAAUAUUUAAAACUCAACAAUGAAAAAUACUCCAACAACAAAUACUCCGAGAUACAAAUGUGGAGAACAUGGGUUAACACUACAUGGAAAACAAUAUUUUGCCAAUUUAUAAUAUAGUUUUCCCGUUUAAAGAAGGUUAUCGAAAAGGUUUUCAUGUACUAGAUACAUAUCAGAUUCAUGAAUCUACCUAAACAAUUACAAAACAUAUCCAAACUAUAUAUGAACAUUCAUAGUUAAUAAAUGUGAUACACAAGGUAACUCUAACAUUUAUGAAACGUAAUACAGUAGAGUAGAGUAGAGAAAUUAAAAAAUAACUUAAAAAAAAAAACAACAACUUACGUGUCUACCCCUUUUUAGCGUAGGCAUUCAAUAACCCGAUGUUGCGCUCCAUAGAGGCGUCCAGCUCGGUGAUGUCUGUAAGCAGAAAGACUGACAACCCUAACAUGGCUGACCCUGCAGAAAUCCUCUCAACAAGCUCGACAAAUUUCCUCAAUCCUCACAAAUAGAUGACAAGAGGUAGCUCGGUGUGGGAUCAGCCAAUGUAAAAAGGGUGAGAAUAAUGGGCAGGUAAAUUUGGGUCAUAGCCACUACAUCACGCAUCCUAGACAAACGAUGAGGAUGCAUGUUGUAUAGCAAAACCAAUCGCUUGACAAAUUUUUUAUUUUUUAUUUUUUUGUAAAUAAAUAACUUAUGUGUCUCCCCCUUUUAAGGCGUACGCCUUCAAUAACCCGAUGUUGCGCUCCAUAGAGGCGUCCAGCUCAGUGAUGUCUGUAAGCAGAAAGAAUGGUAACCCUAACAUGGCUGACCCUGCAGAAAUCCUCUCAGCAAGCUCAACAGAUUUCCUCAAAUCCUCAAAAAUAGAUGAAAAGAGGUAGCUCGGUGUGGAAUCAGCCAAUGUAAAAAGGGUGAGAAUAACGGGCAGGUAAAUCUGGGUCAUAGCCACUACAUCACGCAUCCUAGACAAACGAUGAGGAUGCGUGUUGUAGAGCAAAACCAAUCGCUUGAAACGGGUUUGGGUUUUCAAGAAAACAUGUAAUUAGGUAGGUGUAUAUUAAUGUAGGCUUGAUAAAUAAGAGUAAUGGUAGGUGUAUCACAUUUUGAGAGACCAUCUAGAACCCACCUUAUGUGGCAUCUGAUGUGCUAUAGUCAUGUCAUCAGAAUAUAAUUAUGAUUUUAUAUUUUUUUUAUCUUUUCCUUACUACGAAAAUUCUUUUUUACUUUUUACUUUUUUAUUUAUAUUAUCUUUCAAACCCUGUAUUCUUUCCCUUUGUGUUCUAGUUCUAAUCUUCUUUGAUUCGACGUCUUCAACAACCGUCGUCGUUCUCACCUCCUCCUAUUCAUCGUUGAGUUGAAACUUAGUGAUCGAGCACAUCAGCAUUCAUGUUCUGGUAAUUGAGUUGAAAUAGAUGUUCUUCUCUAUAGGGUUUAUACAGUAGAUUAGUAAU